CUUGGUCAUUUAGAGGAAGUAAAAGUCGUAACAAGGUCUCCGUAGGUGAACCUGCGGAGGGAUCAUUGAUGGUUUGACUUGCCUCUGCGAGGCAACAUCUUCACCUUCCACCCUUGUGCAUUUAGAGCUUUUUUCUUUGGCUGACGGAAGUUGGCCAAAGUCAUGCAAAGUCUUGUAUUGUUUUGUCUAUGAAGAAAAUUCUUAACAUUGAAAACUUUCAACAACGGAUCUCUUGGCUCUCGUAUCGAUGAAGAACGCAGCGAGAUGCGAUACGUAGUGUGAAUUGCAGAUUUUUGUGGAUCAUCGAGUUUUUGAACGCACAUUGCGCUCUCUGUUGAGGAGAGCAUACCUGUUUAAGAGUUGCUUAUAACCUUCACCGGCCUUUUUUGGCUGCGUGGUGUUGGAUUUUGCUUCGCAAGAAAGCAUCGUCUGUAAAGGUUCCGACUCUGGUUCGUGGUGAAAGCAGCAACGAUGAGUUUCUUGGAAACCGGUGUUGACUGAAAGCCUCGGAUCGAGAGUCGUUAAGCAUUGGAUCUCAGUUUCAACCUCAGAUCAGGUAAGAGGACCCGCUGAACUUAAGCAUAUCAAUAAGCGGAGGA
rnacentral:rRNA from 1 species